AGGACGAACGCUGGCGGCGUGCUUAACACAUGCAAGUGGAGCGACGAACCGGGGCUUGCCCCGGGGCAGAGCCGCGAACGGGUGAGUAACACGUGGGUUACCUGCCUUGAUGACCGGGACAACCCGAGGAAACUCGGGCUAAUACCGGAUGUGCCCGCAAGGGGAAAGGAAGCUUCGGCCUCCGCAUCAAGAUGGGCCCGCGGCCCAUUAGCUUGUUGGUGAGGUAACGGCUCACCAAGGCAUCGAUGGGUAGCUGGUCUGAGAGGACGAUCAGCCACACUGGGACUGAGACACGGCCCAGACUCCUACGGGAGGCAGCAGUGGGGAAUCUUGCGCAAUGCGCGAAAGCGUGACGCAGCAACGCCGCGUGGGGAAGAAGGCUUUCGGGUUGUAAACCCUUUCAGUUGGGACGAAGCUUCUCCGGUGAAUAGCCGGACGGAGUGACGGUACCUUCACAAGAAGCACCGGCUAACUACGCGCCAGCAGCCGCGGU
rnacentral:rRNA from 1 species